rnacentral:rRNA from 1 species
AUUGAACGCUGGCGGCAGGCCUAACACAUGCAAGUCGAACGAGUGGCGGACGGGUGAGUAAUGUCUGGGAAACUGCCUGAUGGAGGGGGAUAACUACUGGAAACGGUAGCUAAUACCGCAUACCAUCGGAUGUGCCCAUAUGGGAUUAGCUAGUAGGUGGGGUAAAGGCUCACCUAGGCGACGAUCCCUAGCUGGUCUGAGAGGAUGACCAGCCACACUGGAACUGGGGCACGGUCCAGAAUCCUAAGGGAGGCAGCAGUGGGGAAUAUUGGACAAUGGGCGCAAGCCUGAUGGAGCCAUGCCGCGUGUAUGAAGAAGGCCUUUGGGUUGUUAAGUUCUUUCAGCGGGGAGGCGUUACCCGCAGAAGAAGCACCGGCUAACUCCGUGCCAGCAGCCGCGGUAAUAC